GGGGAUGUGGCUUAGUGGUAGAGUGCUUGCCUAGUAUGCGUGAAGCCUUGGGUUCGAUUCCUCAGUCCUCA
rnacentral:tRNA from 1 species